rnacentral:rRNA from 1 species
CACCUGUUUAUCAAAAACAUGGUUUUAUGAUUAUAUUUUAAGAUUUAUUCUGCUCAAUGAUAAUAGAUUAAUUAUUAAAUAGCCGCAGUAUUUUGACUGUGCAAAGGUAGCAUAAUCAAUUGUCUUUUAAUUAAUGACUGGAAUGAAGGAAUGAAUGAAAUUUAAACUGUCUAUAAUAAAAAAUUUUAAUUUUAAUUUUAAGUCAAAAUGCUUAAAUGAAAUUAUGGGACGAGAAGACCCUAUAGAAUUUUAUAUAAAUUUUUAAAUAAUUAUGUGAGUAAAAAAAUUAAAUUUAAAAUUAUAUUUUAUUGGGAGGAUAAUUAAAAUAAUUUAACUUUAUUAAUUAAUAAUAUUAUAUAAAUAGACAUUAAUUUAUGAAAAAAUGAAUAAAUUUUUUAUUGAAUUUAUAUUAGAAUUAAUUACCUUAGGGAUAACAGCGUUAUAUUUUUUAAAAGAUCGUAUUAAGAAAAAUGUUUGCGACCUUGAUGUUGAAUUAAAGUAAAAAUUAAAUGAAGAAGUUUAAUAUUUUAGUCUGUUCGACUAUUAAAAUUUUACAUGAUUUGAGUUCAAAUCGACG